rnacentral:rRNA from 1 species
AGAGUUUGAUCCUGGCUCAGGAUGAACGCUGGCGGCGUGCUUAACACAUGCAAGUCGAACGAUGAUCCCAGCUUGCUGGGGGAUUAGUGGCGAACGGGUGAGUAACACGUGAGUAACCUGCCCUUAACUCUGGGAUAAGCCUGGGAAACUGGGUCUAAUACCGGAUAUGACUCUUCAUCGCAUGGUGGGGGGUGGAAAGCUUUAUUGUGGUUUUGGAUGGACUCGCGGCCUAUCAGCUUGUUGGUGAGGUAAUGGCUCACCAAGGCGACGACGGGUAGCCGGCCUGAGAGGGUGACCGGCCACACUGGGACUGAGACACGGCCCAGACUCCUACGGGAGGCAGCAGUGGGGAAUAUUGCACAAUGGGCGAAAGCCUGAUGCAGCGACGCCGCGUGAGGGAUGACGGCCUUCGGGUUGUAAACCUCUUUCAGUAGGGAAGAAGCGAAAGUGACGGUACCUGCAGAAGAAGCGCCGGCUAACUACGUGCCAGCAGCCGCGGUAAUACGUAGGGCGCAAGCGUUAUCCGGAAUUAUUGGGCGUAAAGAGCUCGUAGGCGGUUUGUCGCGUCUGCCGUGAAAGUCCGGGGCUCAACUCCGGAUCUGCGGUGGGUACGGGCAGACUAGAGUGAUGUAGGGGAGACUGGAAUUCCUGGUGUAGCGGUGAAAUGCGCAGAUAUCAGGAGGAACACCGAUGGCGAAGGCAGGUCUCUGGGCAUUAACUGACGCUGAGGAGCGAAAGCAUGGGGAGCGAACAGGAUUAGAUACCCCCGUAGUCC